AUGGAGUGUUACUCUGUUGCCCAGGCUGUAGUUCAUUGGCACAAUCUCAGCUCACUGCAAACUUUGCCUUUUGGAUUCAAGCUAUUUUCAUGCCUCAGUGUCCGAGGAGCUGGAAUUACAGGCAUGCACCACCACACCAGGCUAAUUUUUGUAUUUUUAGUAGAGAAGAUAUGUCUUUAUAACACUUGUCUUUCUGAAAACAGAAGAGAUACAGUCUUCAUUUAAAAGUGAUCCAUGAAGUGACAUCAGCAAGAUAAGCAACUAAACUGCCUGGCUUUUGUCCCCACCCCAAAAGGGACUAAAACAAUGAUUAAACAGCUACAUUUUGGCUGGAAUAUCUGAAGAAUUGUGCUGGAGAGUACCAAGGAAACAGUGAAACUCUUGUGGAGCACAGAAGCCCAGGAUAGUCAAUAAAGACGGGAGUGAGACAUCCUGCCUUUGCCAUAUUAUCUCCUUCACUAGGAUCAGAUUGGAGCCAGAGAGUACUCUUUUUAUGGAUAAAGGUGAGAUGAAUAUGUUUAGCAAUUGUCAGUACUGUCAUAGACACCAGCUGUUACUACUACAGAUGGGUCCCCAGUCUUCACAGACUCCGAAGUCUAGUGUGAAGAGUUAGUUGCCAAGAGUUCACACAAUUGCAUUUCCCCAGUGCAGGGACCCCCUUUAUACCUCCAAACCCUGAAACCUAAGUGGCUACAGCAUAGCUUCCUCUUGAAACUGUGAACUUUAUUUCUCAACUUAAGCUCCAUCAACUUCAAGAUACUAUUAUAAGUAAAAUGGUAACAGCCAUUUAGUCCACCCCUAAAGAACUGAGAUUACUAGGAAUUUAGUCAUUUUAAUAGUCUCUUUUACAUUAUUAACUGAAGAAUAUUGGGCUUUCUUAAAAUAUAUUUUUUAAAUUAGAGAACAAAAAUAAGUCAGAAAAAGCCAAAUUCAGACUGUAAGGUGAAUACCUAAUGAUUUCCUGUUGAAACAGUUUCAAAAUUGCCCUUGUUUGAUGAGAGGAUGAGCAAGAGCUUUGCUGUGGUGAUAAAGGACUCUCUUGUGAAAUUUUCCUGUUUUUUUUUUUUUUCUGCGAAGUUUUGGCUUACUUUCUCAAAACACUCUGAUAAUAAGCAGAUGUUACCAUCUUUGACCUUCCAGAAAGUUAACAAGCAAAAUGCCUUGAGCAUCCCAAAAAACUUGACCAUUGCUCUUGGCUAGGUCACUUGUUCUUCGACUGGCUUACUCCAACCUCCUGGCAGUUCUCAUUUUGCUUGUGCUUUGUCUUCAGGACUGCACUGUCCUGAUAUUUGAUCUUCUUUUAUGAUUCUUUGAAGAAAUGCUUUUCAGGAUCAUGAUUCCACAUACUUGAAAUGUUCAUUAGAAGCUCUGCUCUUGUCUGCAGCUAAUCUGGUGCAAUCGAUUUGGCACCCAUUGAGUAGAAAUUCUUCUUGUCAUUAAUAAGUUAGUCAGAACUGUGUAAGCUGAACCAAUGGUUAUGCCUGUGGUGUUGGUUAUGGUUUCUGCUGUUACUUGUUAAUCCUCCAAUUAGAACACUAAGAUUAUUUUUCCCAAAUUGUUGUUAAUGGACUGUCAUUGCAGGCUUCAUUCCUAACAUUGUCUUGUCUCUUAUUGAAGGUAUGGAGAUUAUGCCAAUUCCCUGAACUCAGUAGCUAAAAAAAUAAAACUGAAAUAGGCAGUAACUGAAAAAUAAAACCAACCUGAAAUUGCAAUCACCAAUAAAUUUUUUAUUCUUUUUCAUUUUCUCACUGAUUUUGUAAACUCUUCUUUGGAAACAUCAGCUAGCAUAUUCCUCCAAGUAUAGCUAUCCCACCUCCAGACUUAAAGGUAUGAACAAGCUCUGAGGCUGCUCAUAGUUUUAGGUUUGUCUUGUUUUAUAUUAUGUGUGGAAACUCUGUUUCUAUAAAUCACAGAAAUCCUUUUAUGCAUUUAGUGCCUCUUGAUAAUAAUCAGUAUUUCUACACAUCACAGAUAAGAAUCACCAACUAUUCCUAAUGGUGGUGUGUAGAUUAAGAAUCACACACUGUCUGGGUCCAGGACUGCAUUGUCUGCUGAACCAGAUAGAGAAAAUUCUAAGACUACAUGACAAUGUCAUUUAUAAUGUUUUCUAAAUAACAUUUUUCUACUGAAGAUUUGGGCAUUGCUUAUUGCUUAGGAAACAUAAUUUGUAUGGUGAAACAUAUAUGUGUUCAAAGUCUUGGUUAUUUCUUACUUAGCCUCAUAAGUUAUCUGGCAACAUAGUGUAGUCAGGUCUCUUAGCCUUGUUGCUUAUCAAUAUCCUGGGGUGUAAACUGGAUAUAUGAUGAAUAUAUUUCUCUCAGAAUUGUUGGAUAGAAACAAAUGUGAUUAUGUUUAUAAGUACAUUUUAUAAAAUAUUUUACCAUACAUAUGAAAGAAAAUAUUUUAAUUUAAAUGUGUGAAAUUACUUUCUCUUGUUAACAAUGGAUUCCUUUCUAGUUAUCAAAGAGAAAUGCUGUACUCUAUUUCUCAAAAAAUUUUCUGAACACUUUUUCAAAGUUCAGAAAAACAAUGAUCUUUUUCUCAAUCAAUAAAUGUGUCACACCUUUUUAAUUCAUGUCUUUCUGCUUUUCAGUCUCUUGAAUAUAUACGAGUAUUUUUUAGGUCUUUUGUUUUGUUUUGUUUGGGUUUUUUUCUUUGUAAGAAAGCAAUCAACCCAGUUUGCCUAAGGCAGCAUUCUUUGUUUUAUUUAAUUAAACACUUUAGAGCCAAAAACUUCUUGAACAUAUUCAGUAAAAUCCAAAGUUCAGG
rnacentral:lncRNA from 1 species